AGUUUUUUUAUCCAUUACCUUCUAUUUUUUAAUUAAUAAAACCCAUUAAUUAUCAUUGUCAUUACCAAGCAUUAAACACCAUUAAUCAAGCAAAAGCAUUUAUCCAGCAAAAUCGCCCGUCUUCCUCCUUUUUCCCUGUCAGCUUUUCCUGAUUUCACCAUGUUUGCGUUGGAAUUUUGUUGCAAGCACAAUUAACCAAGUUUUUUUAAAAUUAAUUUCCAUUUUCAUUUAUAUGGGUUCUGUUUGACUGGUCUGAUAAACCAGAGGAGAAGCAAGAACUGCUGGCGUAUGUGAAUAUGUUGCAACAACAAUUAACCAGGUUUUUUAUUUAAAAAUUGAUUUUGAUUUAUCUGAGAAAAUGGGUCCUGUUGGAUUAUGGUUGAUGUUUGGGGAAGUUUCUAAAGUUCUUACAUAGGUGAAGAGCUUCUAAGAAGAGAGAUUCGGCAAUUGAAGAAGCUACUGCAGAGGAGAAGCAAACACUGCUGGGCAAAGAACUUGUAAUCCGCUAUUUAAUUCAACAUUGUAUGUAAGCAUAUCUUUAUCUUUGUUAGGUCUUAUAAAUUGUGGCUAAAGGAGUUUGCUUUAGGAGAAAUAGUUCAGAUGUUGCACAUGGUUUUUAACACGAAGAAAUGACUUACACGACCUCAAUCCAGAUGGCAACCGAUUAAGAUUACUCUUUCAUAGAUCGUCCUUGAUUCAGGGGUGGUUGCUGCAACAUAAAAUCUGCAAGAUCUGGUUAUGGCUGGAGAAAAAUGGAUUGCAUCAAAUACGGAGAUCCAAAACACCACAAUACUGAUGUUAAGAAGGUCGUCUUAUAUAGGCGAAGAACAUCUAAUUUGAUAUUUAAUUUAACAUUGGAUACUUAUGAAAAUCAGAACUUGUGCGUGAAUCCCAUUGGUAGUAAUCUUAAGCAUAUCCCAAAGAAGCAUCGGCUGGAGAAAGAUGGCUUCCUACUGAUGUUAAGAAGGCUCUCCCAAGUGCAGUAUAACAACAACUUUUAGUUAUGCGGAAUUUAGGAGCUUUACAAUUAUAUGUUGGAAAAAAUGAGAACCUAUGGAGGUGCGUGAAUCCCAUAUGUGGUAAUCUGAAGCAUAUCCCAAAGAAGCAUGGCAUGACCUGUAAAAAUUUCUAUCAUCUUCUGCUGGACGAGUUGCCAUAAGUGCUACACAGUGCAGAAUCUGUGCGUGAAUCCCAUCUGUGGUAAUCUUAAGCAUAUCCCAAAGAAUCAUCGGCUGGAGAAAGAUGGCUUGCUACUGAUGUUAAGAAGGCUCUCGCAAGUGCAGUAUAACAAUAGCUUGUAGUUAUGCAGAAUUUAGGUGCUUUGCAAUUAUAUGUUGGAAAAAAUGAGAACCUAUGGAGGUGAGUGAAUCCCUCGGUGGUAAUCUGAAGCAUAUCCCAAAGAAGUAUGGCAUGACCUGCAGAAAUUUCUAUCAUCUUCUGCUGGACGAGUUGCCAUAAGUGCUACACAGUAUAGAACAGAGCGCAAAAGAUGAUACCGGUAGUGAUACAGACGGAGGAUGAAGACAUUGACAUUCAUGGAAAAUCUCAGCAAGUUGAAGGGCACAAUGAUGACUCUAACCUUUUAGAAGAAGAUAACCAAACUGAAGUUAACUUUGUUGAGGAAGCAAGCAUUGCAAAAUUUUUUUUCCAGAACUUCAUUUCUCCAACUUUAAUAAGGCCAGCUACUUCAACAAAUGAUAUUUCAAGCCCCAAAAAGAAGGGAAAGAAAGUUAACACUCUUCUCCCGCUGGAUGAACCACUGGAUGCAUCUAGUCCGAAUAAAGUACCAGACGACGUUUUAGGUAAGGGCAAACAGAUCAAUGCUAUUCCAAGUCAGGGAGUAGAUAAUUUGCAGGGGACAAUUUUCAUUAGCAACCUACCUUUUGAUGUUAAUUAUGGAGCAUGUUACAGACGACCAAGGGGUACAGGAUUUCUCAAAUUUAAAAUAAAUUUAAUCUAUUGAAGCUGCUAUUUCUGCUUCCAGUGCUGUGGAUGGUUUAUGUGUCUUUCUUAAGGGUUGACAAUUAAAGAUUUUAAAGGCCUUAAACAAGAUAGCUGGUCAUGGUAAGGAGUUGCAGAAGACCAAAAAGGAGGAUAAUCACCAUCAUAACCUUUUUGGCUUCUAUUGGUAAUGUCGUCUCGACAAUCAACUUCUUAAAAGGGAUUACUCUAAGAUAAUGUGGACGUAAUCUUAUUCUAUUCUGUGGAAGAAGGGUCUUAUUUUGGAGGGCACUCCAGCUGCUGAAGGUGUUUCAGUGAGUGAUAUGUAUAUGCACAAGAGGAUCUGGUCAGGAAGUGACAAACGUUCAAGAUAAGGAUUCUGGUGGACCGGUUGGAAUACUCUCUUUGCCCACAGUGCAGAAGAAACCUGGGGUGCAGGUGAAGUCAACCACCAGUGGUUCAUCUAAAAAGCAAUCCGCUGAUGAUGAAGUCGAAGGAGAAGCAGAAAUGGCUCAAGGAACGGAUCCGGCUGAUGUGAAAUGUGUUAGGAGUUGGUUUCUGGCAGAAAUGAUUUCAUGAUAAGGGUUAGACUUUGUAGAAUGUGGGAUGUUAUUAAUCACAGGAAAAAUGGUAAGCUGAUCAGUAUGGAAAUGAUAUUUAUUGAUGAAAAGGUACUUUCUUACGUUCAUUUUUAUUUUAAAAACACUAUUUCUUCUUUACACUUUUAGUUUACAUAACACUUGUGACUUUCUUUCGUCAGAAAAAUUUGAUCUAUGGUAUAAUGGAUACAAAUCAAGUGAAUAGGCUGAAAGGCAUGUUGAAAGAAGGUUCUUUAUUUACAAUAAAAAACUUCAAAGUUGUUGAAAUCACUUUUGCAUACAGACCUAUUGAAUGUCCAUUGGCAAUUAUUUUGUCUGCCUCAACUGUAAUGAACAAUUUAGCUGAAGAUGUUGUCGACAUUCCUAUAAAUGAAUUUCAGUUUAUUAAACCAACUAUGAUUGAUUCAAGGGUGGAUAGUCACACUGUUUUAUCAGGUCUACAUUUUUCUUAUUAUUAAUUAUUGCAUAAAUUAUUAAAACAACAACAUUAUUCUUAAAUGUCAUACUUCACUCGCUUCAUUAGUAGAUGUGGUUGGUUGUUUAUAUGAAAUUGGUGAUAUAGAGAAUUGUGGAUCGAAGGGCAAAACAAGGGAGAUUAAAAUUAUUACUGAUUAGUAAGUCACUCAUCUCUUCAUAACCGUUUAAUAUCUUCAUUAUAGUCAUUCAUUGGUAUUAUGUAUCCAAACUUCAUAUGUAUAUAAGUACCUAUUUCACUUAUCAGUUUUUUUUUUAAAAAAACAUUCUUAGUUUUAUUCUUUGAUGUUAUUUAAAUGCACCUUAUGUAUUUAAAGUGUAUGAAACUUAGAAAAAUGUGCUUUUAAAUUCUUCCAUGUUUUUCUUUUUCCUCGAUUUUGGGGUGAUUUCUUAAAUGCAUAUAUAACAAAACAAUCUUACCAAAUUCUGUAUGUGUUCAUAUUAGAAUCAAAGUAUAAAAACUUCUUUUGAUUAAAUUUAGACGAAUUAUAUCAAUUAUAUACCUUUAAUUUCCUUUGUCUUUUUCCAUGCACAGUUUUGAGAAAGUCAAAAUUACCUUAUGGGAAGAGCUUGGUGAUAAAUUUGCUCCUUCCUUGUACAAUAAGGAUGUUGGCCCGUAUAUAGUGAUAGUCACAUCUACAACCGUGAAAGAAUUUUGUGGUAAUUGUCCUCAUUUUAAUUAUCACUAUUUUGAAUUGAAGUGCUAUCUUUUUGAACAAAUGUCAAACUUACAUUUUAUUAUAUUUAUUGUUAAUAGGUGAAGUUAGCUUCUUCACCACUCAUGCAAGUAGAAUAUAUGUAAAUCUAGAUAUAGAUUACGUACGA